rnacentral:rRNA from 1 species
GAUGAACGCUGGCGGCGUGCCUAAUACAUGCCAGUCGAGCGAACAGACGAGGAGCUUGCUCCUCUGACGUUAGCGGCGGACGGGUGAGUAACACGUGGAUAACCUACCUAUAAGACUGGGAUAACUUCGGGAAACCGGAGCUAAUACCGGAUAAUAUAUUGAACCGCAUGGUUCAAUAGUGAAAGACGGUUUUGCUGUCACUUAUAGAUGGAUCCGCGCCGCAUUAGCUAGUUGGUAAGGUAACGGCUUACCAAGGCAACGAUGCGUAGCCGACCUGAGAGGGUGAUCGGCCACACUGGAACUGAGACACGGUCCAGACUCCUACGGGAGGCAGCAGUAGGGAAUCUUCCGCAAUGGACGAAAGCCUGACGGAGCAACGCCGCGUGAGUGAUGAAGGUCUUCGGAUCGUAAAACUCUGUUAUUAGGGAAGAACAAAUGUGUAAGUAACUAUGCACGUCUUGACGGUACCUAAUCAGAAAGCCACGGCUAACUACGUG